GGCCUAGGGCGCUACUCGUCAGCUGAUUGGAGAGCUUAAUAAUGCAGUGUGUUGGUGCAGGUUACAGCUGCAGCUGUAAACAUAAAUGUUAAACCGGUAGUUAAUAAGAGUGCCGUGAAGGUGGAAGACCAGGAGGCGUGUUCAGGCCACCAUGUGAUCGGAAAUUACCCCUGCAGAGAGAGACAAAGUGCCAAAACAAGGGGAAGCGGAGAGUUUGAGCGGGUUCUUCGGGAUUUAAGGAGCUGCUUUUAUUCAGCAACACUUCCACGGACUCGCUGCUUCGCUUUGUUGUCUUUUCACCGCAGUCAAACCUAGGAAGCCACCUUAGUACGCUAAGGGUAUGUUGGAGGAAGGUAUGCGGACUGCAGAGGGUUGCUACCGAACAGUAUGGGAGCGGCUGGGAAUGGCCUUCCAGACUCCUGAAGCUUACUGCGAGAGGAGCAUCUACCGCUCUCUGGCCUACAUGAGGCCUCUUAGUGUUUGGGCCAUGCAGCUCGCUCUGGACAGGUCCCAGAGGGACAACACUGUUCGAGCUAAAACCGGAGACACCGACGAGAUCGAAACCUGAUGUAUUUACCUACAAUAGAAACACAAAACGGCGAUUCUCAACAAAAUUAACUGGGAAUCCCUUUCUCUUUAGCUUGAUUGGUUCAAUGGUUCAUUGUCUAAAUCAGACACUGUUGUAAUUAAACAAUCGUAUGUUAAAGGACUUUUCUGAUGGCACUGCAAGUUGUCUUACACUUUGUGUGGUCGGGCAUUUCCAAAACCAAGUCUCCAUGUAAUGCAAGUUAACAAUGCCAUCUUUUGUUUCAGCAACAUGUUGUCACAUUGUGCACAUAUACAUAUGCAAGCACUACAUUAGAUAAUAUGCCAAUAGUAUUUGCACAUUUGCAACAUGUCUGUAUGUAUUGUCAACUUUUGUUCUUACUCCAGUCCAGUUAAAAUGCUGUUAAGCAGUGAAAUGUGUGACGAGUGGUAUUUAAAUGUAUGGAAAACAAUAUUACCUUUUAUUAAUUAUUAAAUAGAAUUGAGUGCCUUUGAGCACUACAUAUGUGUAUACUGUUUAACCAUUCAGUAUACAGUAUGUUGCAGCAACUUGUUGUUUUUUUUCUAAAUGAUAGUCAUGACAAUCACUAAGAAUAAAGGACUGAAAUUUAACACGUUUUUUUUUAUUUUUAUGAAUUUAUACAUGCAAGUACCAGGCAACAAGGUGGUUUGAGCUGCUAACUUUCUCAGAUAUUUAAUCCUUUAAACAUAGCAAUCUUAAGUUAUGUUACAUUAUUAUACUGGCCAUAAACUGAACUUUGUCAGAUAUGCACAUCCUGCAACAGCAGUAAGAUAUACAGAUGCUGGAGGAAAGUCCAAAUCAUCCUGCCUUUAGGGAUGGAGAAAAGGAAGAUUAGGGGACAAACAAAGUGAUUUCACAGUUCUGAGUUCAAUCCCAGGUGUGGAAAUACUAUGCUGCAAUAGAACAUUUCCUGAACGAUAAUUGAGGGAAAUGAUUUGUCAGUUCUUUCAAAAACAUUUUUAAAUGGAUUUUGAAAAUAAAAAGUCAACUUUAAAUUACAUAUAUGUAAGUUGAAAAUACUGCAUUCCUUUUUCCUGACAAAAAAAACCCAACUUCCCUUUUAAAAAUUGACAGAAUAAAAUGUUUGUAUUGCAGUGAUGUGUUCAAAUCAAUAAAUGAUAUCAUUAUCAUAUCUAACGCUUAUAUUUAUUAUUCAUAGCAUAGUCUUAGCUCAAUGUAUACAAUUUUCUGGAAAGUUGGGAAUUUUCCUAACCCAAGAUUGCGAAAUAAAAUAAUCCAAGCGCCUAAACUAAUGCCAUAUAUGGAAGUCGCGGUGAACACACCUGGCUCAUUACCGAGGCAGGUAGAUCAGACAGCGCCUGAAUUAAACGACACGUAGAAUGCUUCUUUACCACUGAUAUCAUGGUAGAGGUAUGUUGUCAUGGUUUAGCUUGCUUAGUAACGAACUAGUGUUGGCCUCUUUUUUUUCCUCAGCAUUUAAACAGUGAAAGAAAACAUAUUUACUAAUUUACUCAUACAUUUGACUUUCCUCUGUACCUUUCAUUGACAGCAGUCCUAACUACUGGAAGGCCUUAACAGUUGGGACUAGGAUCGGGUCACCAGCAAGCCAUUGUGUUUUCUAAUAAGCUAGAAACAUUAACAACACCCUGAAGGCGCCCAGCUCAGAGUACAUCCCAAACUUCACACCACCAGCAAAAUACACCGGUGAGCUGUUUGGUGUAGAUUACCUGCCAAGUCAGACUGAAAAACAGUCACAGUCCACAUACUACAGCACCUUGGGAGCUUCAGCCUG